rnacentral:rRNA from 1 species
AAGCUGGAAUCGCUAGUAAUCGCGGAUCAGAAUGCCGCGGUGAAUACGUUCCCGGGUCUUGUACACACCGCCCGUCACACCAUGGGAGUCAGCAACGCCCGAAGUCAGUGACCCAACCGUUAAGGAGGGAGCUGCCGAAGGCGGGGCAGGUGACUGGGGUGAAGUCGUAACAAGGUACC